AUAACAACGUGUUUCAACUUAAAUCGAUAUGCAAUUAUCUACGAUGCUGCUAAUGACACUAGAAACAAGUAAUAUAGCGUACAUCGAAUCGGAUGUCCACACUUAAAUUUCACUGUGGGACUAUUAUUCUCAAAUUCAUGGACACCAAUUCUAUUUUGUUUUUCAAACUGCGAUAUUCAGCCGUCAAAAAUAUGUGUUUGCUUAAAAUAUCGUCCAGCCGGUCAGAUGAUAGUGCAAUUGAAAGGAUAUACGAAAAUCCAACGUAGUAUGAACUGCAUAUCCUCUUUCAGGUGUUAUUCACGCGUCAUAUACCGCGUAUUGGACAAUUCUAUUCAGGAUGACGAAGGAAAAUGAAAAGCGCCAACAUUUCUUUGUCAUGAGCCUACAUCGCAGUCUGAUCUUGGACUUCGACAAAAUAGCUUCAGAUACAUGUAUAGUAUUGAUGUUUCAUUGACGUUUGUGAUUUUCGUCAGAUAUCAAGGUAGAUUUAAUUCUACUCAUCAAUUGUGGACAAAUUCACCAAAAAAAAAAAAAAAUUGUCGGAUUCUA